GUGUCAGCCGCCGCGGUAAUACCAGCACCCCGAGUGGUCGGGACGAUUAUUGGGCCUAAAGCAUCCGUAGCCGGUUCUGCAAGUCCUCCGUUAAAUCCAACUGCUUAACAGAUGGGCCGCGGAGGAUACUACAGAGCUAGGAGGCAGGAGAGGCAAGCGGUACUCAGUGGGUAGGGGUAAAAUCCGUUGAUCCAUUGAAGACCACCAGUGGCGAAGGCGGCUUGCCAGAAUGCGCUCGACGGUGAGGGAUGAAAGCUGGGGGAGCAAACCGGAUUAGAUACCCGGGUAGUCC
rnacentral:rRNA from 1 species